UAGUUUAAUUAGAAGAUUCCGGUUUUGGGG
rnacentral:tRNA from 1 species